CACCAGCGCCACAAGUGGGGACCUGUAUUAUUGGGCCUAAAGCGUUCGUAGCCGGCUGAAUAAAUCUUCUGUGAAAUUGUCAGGCUUAACCUGACAGCGUGCAGGGGACACUGUUUAGCUUGAGACCGGGAGGUGUAAGAGGUAUUCUUGGGGUAGCGGUAAAAUGCAAUAAUCCCUUGAGGACCACCAGUGGCGGAGGCGUCUUACAAGAACGGGUCUGACGGUGAGGAACGAAAGCUAGGGGAGCGAUCCG
rnacentral:rRNA from 1 species